UGGGGAAUAUUGCACAAUGGGCGGAAGCCUGAUGCAGCGACGCCGCGUGGGGGAUGAAGGCCUUCGGGUUGUAAACUCCUUUCGACAUGGACGAAGCUUUUGUGACGGUACCUGUAUAAGAAGCACCGGCUAACUACGUGCCAGCAGCCGCGGUAAUACGUAGGGUGCGAGCGUUGUCCGGAAUUACUGGGCGUAAAGAGCUCGUAGGUGGUUUGUCGCGUCGUCUGUGAAAUUCCGGGGCUUAACUCCGGGCGUGCAGGCGAUACGGGCUGACUUGAGUGCUGUAGGGGAGACUGGAAUUCCUGGUGUAGCGGUGAAAUGCGCAGAUAUCAGGAGGAACACCGAUGGCGAAGGCAGGUCUCUGGGCAGUAACUGACGCUGAGGAGCGAAAGCAUGGGUAGCGAACAGG
rnacentral:rRNA from 1 species